CAUGUCACGUUGAAACACCGGUUCUCGUCCGAUCACUGAACUUAAGCAAAGUCGAGCUUGGUCAGUGCUUAGAUGGGUGACCACUUGGGAAUACCAGGUACUGUAAG
rnacentral:rRNA from 1 species